GACGUCGAUAUUCGACGUCAUAAACACGAUCAACUUUGGUGUUUAUGACGUCGAUAUUCGACGUCAUAAACACGAUCAACUUUGGUGUUUAUGACGUCGAUAUUCGACGUCAUAAACACGAUCAACUUUGGUGUUUAUGACGUCGAUAUUCGACGUCAUAAACACGAUCAACUUUGGUGUUUAUGACGUCGAUAUUCGACGUCAUAAACACGAACAACUUUGGUGUUUAUGACGUCGAUAUUCGACGUC